GUCGUACACCUGAAGGAAGGUCCAGCGAGUGGGGUUGGUAUCAGUGUGUAGGCCUAGUGGAUCCACACCGUGACCUAAGUGCACUGGACCCUGUUGAUAUGCAGCCACCUCAGCUUCAUGAAGAAACGGCAAGAUUCAGAUGACUACACCGUUUCAGAUCUACUCAUCUCGCUCACCUGUCCACCUGGAUGAAGGAUCACACUCUGCAGCUGAACAUGUCCAAAACCAAGCUCCCAAUCAAAUUGUUCUAGGUUAAUCUCUAACAACAACCUUUUUCUUCCUGCAUUGUGCCUUGCUGAUUUUGUUUGUUUGCACAUGUGACUGAGGUAGCCUGGUUUUACCAGACCACAUUAAUUGCUUCGUAAGUAAUUUUAGGUCUGGAUCCUUCGUGUCCUUGAGCACCAGGGCGGGAGAAGUGAGCUCAGCUCUGAUUUGAAAUGAGCUCUGUCCAAUCGCUGACAAUUGACGUAUGUUAUUCUGUCAAGUGCAUUCACGCCGGUUGUCAGUGUUGCCAGAUGUACGAUAAUUUAUACCAUAAUUUUGUUCUUCCGCCGGUCAGGUAGCGUAUGUCACACUUAGUAUACAAAGCUUGACAUGGUACCAUUAAAGUCCCAAGAUGGAGCAAACAACACAGGUGUUGACAUUAUAUAGCAUGGGCAACUUAUGAUGAGGAGGGCCAUGUUUUUUUCAGCACCAGCAUCAGGGGUUCACAUGACCACAGAUCUGACUCCAAUUUACAGAGUUGGUUGUUCUCUAACUGUCCAUAUUGUUUGGAAGGAAUAUAAUACUCUACCUGUAUACUCAAUACUCUAUUGGGCAGUCAUGGGUAAGCAGUUAGGGUGUCAGACUUGUAGCCCAAAAGUUGCCGGUUCAACUCCCGACCCGCCAGGUUGGUGGGGGGAGUAAUAAACCAGUGCUCGCCCCCAUCCUCCUCCAUGACUGAGUUACCCUGAGCAUGGUACCGUCCCGCCUUGCUUCUUUGGGGCACCAUUGAGGGCUGCCCCCUUGCACGGAUGAGACAUGAAUGCACUUUCGUAGUGUGCAGUGUUCACUUGCGUGCUGUGUCACAAUGACAAUGUGAGUUGGAGUUUCCCAAUUGGGCUUUCACUUUCACGCUUUCACUCUAUUGGCCCACAGUAUAAUUACAACAUAUUGAUUCAGUAAUCGUGUUUAAAAAAUAUGGUCAUUAUUUUCUUAAUUAGGCCUACUGUUUUAUCUAUAGGGCGCAUUGAGUGAGGAGGCGGGCUGCAUGUGGCCCCCGGGCAUCCAUUUGCCCAUCCCUGUUGUAGAGUGAACUACACAGUGAUUGCUGUCUAUAGCAGUGGUUCUUAACCUGGGGUUAGUGUUGAGGUUGUGGCCAAAAUUCUGUUUGAGAACAUUAAAAUUAGUCCAAAUCAGAACCAAAUUAAAAAAUGAUGGUCCCCAUUUAAAGCCAUAAAGAUUUUGAUUGAUGUCUCUUUGUAAUUAUAAAGGAUGAUAUUAAUCACCUGAAUCAUUUUUAGCCUAUUGUUGGACAUUGCAGCCUAAAGGUUGUCGGUUCGACUCCCGACCCACCAGGUUGGUGGGGGCAGUCAUCAAGCAGUGUUCUCCUCCAUGACUGAAGUAUCCUCAGCAUAGUACCGCCCCGCCGCACUCCUCCCUUUCCGGCGCCAUUGUGAUUUGCCCCCUGGCAUGGAUGGGGCAUAAAAUUGAUUGCUUUGUGUGCCGUGGAAUGCUGUGUCACAAUGACACUGGAAGUUGAAGUUACCCAAUUGUGCUUUCACUGGGUUAUUUAAUGGAAGGUACCGUCAUCUAUUACCUAUUAGAAGUAGAAUUUUCCAUAAUUUGGUAUGUUUUUUUUUUUUACUGAUGGUCUUGGAUAGUAAUUAGAACUGUUUUUUUGCAGCAACUGGAUAGCUACAAAUCCAUCCAAGUUUUGAAAUUGAAAGGGUGCCCUCCACUUUCCACAUUUUAUUAAAACUGUUAACCCUACUGUUAAAGGAGCAGUCCUGCCAAUUUCAAUAUGCUGUUGUAUUAUUGCUCACACUACCCUUGACUUGUUAGUACAUUGCAUUUUUCGGCUCAGCCCUUUCCGAGAUCUGGGCUAUUCUAAUGGGGGCAGAUUUUGUUUACAUUAAAAACUAUCUACUCCAAAUAUUGAUGCAUAACCUUUUGGAUGAUUUUGGGGGGUAAAAAUCUCAGGUACUGACAAGUCCAGGGUAGUGUGUGAGCAUGACGACUGCAUGUUGAAAUUGGCUGAGCCUUUUAGGAAGCCGGUUGCAUGUAUGUUGGAAACAAUAUUUGACAGCGUCUUAGGUUGGAAACAAUAUUUGACAGCGUCUUAUACUGCAGCGUCUUAUCUCUACUACAAAUUAUGAUGUAAAUGUGGAUUUAUUUUUUAUGACAUGAAUACCAGGCUCUACUGUAUUUGAAGAAACUGACAAUAAAGCUGCCACUUGUUAA